UUAACUAUUGUAUAGUACUCAGACAGCAGGCAUUUCAGAGUUUAGGUCCUCUGCCGGGCGAGCCCGGCAAAGCAACGUAGUUAGGUAGACACAGGGUGAGAAUAGGGCUGUGAGGCCUGUUAUUCUUUAAUGAUCCUUCCGCAGGUUCACCUACGGAAA
rnacentral:misc_RNA from 1 species